rnacentral:misc_RNA from 1 species
ACUUGCAAUCCCAAUUCUUUGAUCUAUGGGAACCUUGUACACUUCAAAGUAUUUCACACAUUUUCUAAGCCAAACCUUAGGUUCUUUCCCAUCGAAAGCAAUUAAUUCAAUCUUAGGCAAGAAUGGAUUCAUACUGACGAAAGAAACUAAUAUUUGAGGGAAUUUUUUGUAUAUUUCUUAAUGAUGAAAAAUGAUAUACAAG